GACGAACGCUGGCGGCGUGCUUAACACAUGCAAGUCGAACGGAAAGGCCUCUUUCGGGGGGUACUCGAGUGGCGAACGGGUGAGUAACACGUGAGUAACCUGCCCUUGACUUUGGGAUAACUUCAGGAAACUGGGGCUAAUACCGGAUAGGAGCUCCUGCUGCAUGGUGGGGGUUGGAAAGUUUCGGCGGUUGGGGAUGGACUCGCGGCUUAUCAGCUUGUUGGUGGGGUAGUGGCUUACCAAGGCUUUGACGGGUAGCCGGCCUGAGAGGGUGACCGGCCACAUUGGGACUGAGAUACGGCCCAGACUCCUACGGGAGGCAGCAGUGGGGAAUAUUGCACAAUGGGUGGAAGCCUGAUGCAGCAACGCCGUGUGCGGGAUGACGGCCUUCGGGUUGUAAACCGCUUUCGCUCAUGACGAAGCUUUGUGUGACGGUAGUGGGUAAAGAAACACCGGCUAACUACGUG
rnacentral:rRNA from 1 species